ACGCAGCCUGCUGGGGGCGAGGGGUGCGCCGGGGGACUCAGUCUGUGAUCGCCCCCUUGGGCUGUUCUCUCCCACCCGCUCCUCCGCAAGGGGAGCCCGGCUGAUUGGACAAACAAAAGCCUCGAGUUAAACGUCGUCGUCGGGGAGAGAAUUGCAGGAGCUCUCGACAGCAAAUUAGGCAACUAAAGCCAAGCGCGGUGGCUUUCGGAGAUUAAAUGCAUUAUAGAUUUGCUAAACCAGAGGCGAGCCGGAGAAAAGGUGGACGGAUCAUUGUUGCUACCCUUCAGGCAGCCGGGGCGGGCUGGGACGCAAUCACGCCGGCUUGAUCGCCAGACACGCAGGCUUAAUUUCCCAUUUGCAAUCAAGACCACAUCCCCGUCCUCGGAGUCCCAGAAACACGGUCCUUCCUCGGGUUCCUUUCACAGGCCGCAUUGCGGAGAGGAGGGAAAAUUACCCGGAGAUAAUGGUGCUGAUUAUGGGACUGCAAGUGGCUGGGAAGCGCCGCGGGCGCCUGCGGAGGAGGAGCGGGAGAGGCCCGGGGCGUGCGCUGGCAGGGGCACAGGCGAGGCCGGCCGUCCGAGCUCCGGUCCCGCGGAAUUGCGCCCCCGGGCUCUGGUGCCUCAGCCCUGAACCCGGGGGAGAUGGCCCAGUUCAGGAGGCACGUCUAAAGUUUUAUUUCAACCUCACCCUUCUUCUAAUUCAAGAAAAAGAACAAAGAAUUUCAGAAUAGCUAACAGAGAAGGCUGUGGCCCAGAACGUCUGGGUACAGGAGAUGGGGUUAUGGGAGCCAGAUUCAGGGAAUCUGAGAACCUGGGUCCUGGUCCCUGUCCCGGAGGGAGACUCCCCUUCCUACGGCUGGGCCAGGCAGGGCCCCUCUGCACCUCAGAAGGGGGACAAGGACCAGGUGAGCACCAUCGUCCUCUCUGCUCCACAGCCUGGAGAGGAGAAGGUUAAAGUCCUUACGCUUCUGAAGAAAUAGCAGAAGGGGACCAGGUGCUUCUCAAUCUCUUCUGAAAAGGAGACAAAAGAAUAUUAACUGGAGUUUCAGCUUGAGGGACUCAGAUUCGACCUAAAAAAAGGAAUUAUCACAGAGGGGAGUUGUUAAAACAUGAAAUUGGAUACAACAGGAGGUUUCAAAACCUCUUUUUCUCUAGAACUUUGAAGAAUCACAGCAAUGCAUGAGUCUGAGAUGGACCGUGCGUGGGCGUCCUCGGAGGGUGGAUGCAUCCCACCACGCCCCGAGCUUCCUGACCGGAUUUAAUUCCCUCUACUAUCGAUCAAGUCCCGUCUGUGGGCCCGACUCGCGUCCAGGCCGUCGGCGCCAUGCUCCGCUUAACCCCUGAUUCAGACCUAGCAGGUUGUAGCCUGAAAAUGAGGACACAGAAGAAGGUCACCAGGAGCCUCACGUGAGAGUUGAACGCACACGGGAGUGUGGCUGGUUUCAAAAGGCACACUCUGUCCGAGGAACGCCCCCUCUCUCACCGGGAAGAGGCAGACGGGGAGGUGAGGGAGUGUUGCCUCUGGGGGCGUUUCUUCACAGCCUCACAGGGGUGACACCCAGAGCCGUGGUUCACGUCCUCCUUUGCAGAGGUGGCUGCAGAGCCCCAGGCUGGGGCUAUGGACAUGAAGAGGGGCCUCACAAGACUCCUAGCAGGCAGGAAGCACCUGGCCCUCAGGAAUUCAGAGACUGCAGUGCUGACAGCGGCCACCUGUGAUCAAAUAUUCUUUUUGCUCCUUUUUCAGGCUUGGAGAGUCACUGACAGAAGGCCACGUGCUUCCUGACGGCAUGAUGGCGCAGGCCAUUAAGUCCUGGGAGAGAGUGGCAGGGCGUGCCAGCCCUCCAAGGACAGGGAGUGGGUGGCCUCAGAGCGUCACUCACAGCCCUGGGAGCUUGAAUACCUCAAUGGCUGCAAGGACCCAGGCCCACACCCUGGCCACUCGGCCCCUGAUACGAGAGAAACCCUCCUGGUCAUGUGGCUUUCAGAGAAAGGAGCCCAACUGCCACUGCUUUUCCAAACCAACUGUCCCAGUAGAAAUAGGAGGCUGAGAUGCUCCUGGGUGCUGACUGGGAACCCCAGGCUAAAGGCCCAGAGGCACGGCUGCACAGGGCAAGUGGCAUCCACAAACUGUGGGCUUGGCAUCCUUGGGCACAGGGAACUUUUUUAUCCUCAAUUUUCUCAUCUGUAAAUGGCAGCAAUAACAAUACCUACGUCAAAGGUAAUUAGGAAGGUUAAAGGAGCCAGGGCCCCUCGAGUGUUUGGAUCUGGGCUUGCAACAUAAAAUGCACUCUCUCCGUGUUAACUGUUAUGAUUAUUACUUCCCACUACCACUACUAAAACGAGCACUAUGAAAAGAUAAAGGAAGAAGCCGUGUAAACACAGGAGGAGGAGAAACAAAGAAAAGGUUUUUUUUUCUUCUUGGUGAUAUAAUCCGUUAUCAGAAUCUCAUCCCUGGGCUCCUUCUGGGCUGUUAGAACACAGCCUUACUCUCAGGCGCAGGCUGCGGGAAGAUGGAACUGAGUCCUCCAAAGCCACCAACUGGGCGCAGCCCAGAUUAUAGCAGUGAAAGUCUCCAGUUUCAGGAGCCUCCUUAUUCCUAGCAAACUGGGAUGGCUGGUCAUCCCACAUCAGCACUCACCUCUGAGAAGACAGCAGUGAGGCCCCACAUUCUGUCACUUGUGUAGUUGCUUAGGGUGCACUGUGUUGAGUUGGCCACCCUUCCUCCCUCCCUCUCUCCCUCCCUCCUGUCUUCCCCUCCUUCUCUCCUUCCUUCCUUCAUUUAUUUUGUUUAUUUAGCUUAGAUUCUGCUCCUCCCCUCUCCCCCUUCAUUUGCUGACCAGCAGCACACACACACCUGCAACAGCAGAAACCAGGGCCAGCUAUUAAGGGAUGGGGUUGCUUGGGGAGCCUGACAAACUACCAGGCAGAGUCUGGUGUCUAGAAGGGGGUCCAGCCCAGCUCUGUUGCUUAUUGUCUCAGUCGGUUUGGGCUGCUUUAACAGAUGCCAUAGACUGGCUGGCUUAAACAACAGACAUUGAUUUCUGACAGUUCUAGAGGCUGGGAAGUCCAAGAGCAAGACAAUGGCAGAUUUUGUUGUUGGUGAGGGCCUGGCUUAGACACUGCUUCUUUCUUGCUAUAUCCUCACAGGCCAGAGAGAAUGAGCUGUGAUCCCCUUUUCCCUUUAUAAGGGUACCGUCUCAUCACGGGUCCCCCAUUCUCGUGACCCCAUCCAAGCUCAAUUAGUGACGAAAGGCUCCACCUCCAAUACCAUCACAUUGGGGAUUAGGACUUCAGUGAUAAAUUGGAGUGAGGUGGCAAAUAUUUACUCUAUAGCACUUAUUAAUACAAAGGCAUUUGAAUAUUUUCACCAAGUCCAAACUCUCUCUGAGUGUCCCUGAGGGACUAGCAAUUGGAUGCCCUUGGCUCCCUGAGGUGGCAGAGGGUAGAGAGGCGCUGCAGCUCCAAGCCUCCAGCCUUGAGUUCCCUUCCUUCCAAUAUGGGCUUAAAUAGCUGUGAGUUUCCUGGGAUUCCAGGCAAGCAGGACAGACUGUGCCUUACUGCCCGAGUGUCUGUAUGUGUUUAUUUAAGAGAAAGUGUGAAGGCCAGAGAGCAAGCAAAGGGCCAGAGUGUGGGAGAAAGCAGGCUUGUGUGUGCACAGGCAGGUGGGCAGGUCUGAUUGACAAGAUCAGAACAGAGCUCCUCGAUUCAAUCAGUCUCCCUCACCCUAGCGAACAAUUCUGAGAGGCCAAUAAGUGAGAGUGGAAGAAGGACUGGUGAGGGAAGCCAAGAUGGGGUGUUUGGGGAGGGCCCCCAAGAGAUCUGGCCCAGGACUCUGGCCAUAACCCUUCCUUGCCAUUCCUGAGAUAGGAGAUUAGGACAUGGAAGAGUGUCACAGAUUAUAUGUGGGGCCCACAAAUCCUCUGUGCCUCUGUCCUGGGAAGCUCUGACCCAGACCACAAGGUAUGGCCAGUGAAGUUCAGGUGGGGGCAGUCCUCUCCUGGCACACAGUAUGUGCUUCUAACGUGGCCGAUGUUCUGGCCCCUGAUGCAAGGGCUUUGGCUAUUUUUCCUGGUGCAUCCACCCUGAUGGGGACUUGGUAAGUUCUAGGGAAUGGUCAGCACAGCUGAGCAUCUCUCCCCUGUGUCCUGCUCUACACUGCAGAUGGAAGUCAGGAAGGAGUUCUGGAGGGAUGCUUCUAGGAUUGCGUGUUGCCUUUCAUUGGCUGCAUUCUCUGAUCUCUCCUCCUGGAGUUCACAAGGUACAGGGGAGGAAGGGCUGCUGACCUGCAUCAGCCAGAGACAACACUCUGGGCAGGAGAGCCUUGGGCACUGGUUCUCUGCCAUCUGCAACUCUCAUUGUGGAUGGGAGCUGGGCAGCAUUUGCCUUCUGGAAGCUUCAUUUGUAGCUCAUGACUCACAGGGAGAACCAGUGGAAGAGUGGGGAUGGCUAGUGCUGGGCACUCCACUUCAGGACUGAGGCAGCAAAGCAGUUCCAGGGACUCCCCAGGUCUGCUGCCCGGGAAAUCAGUUGAGCCACCCUUGGUUUUGAAGAGGCACGAGCCUGUCACGCAUGCCCCAGAUGCAGGCACCCUACCCUAACCCUAUUUAUUUGUUUUUCUUUCCCGAUGAAAAUGUAAGCUUCCUGAGAGCAAGAACUUCUUCUUUUUAAACCCUCUGUCUCCCUACCACUUAGAAGAGUGCUGGGCACAAAGCAGGUUUCAGUAAAAAUAAUCCACCAAAUGAAGGUAUGAAUCAGGGGGCAGCGUCGUUUUACAAAUGAUGAAACUGAGAUAAAGAUGGGUUCAUGAACUCACCCCUCAGUAUCCCUCCUAGCUUUUGGGGAAGCUGUGCUAACCAACAACCGUUACUCCCUGGAAGUUCUUCUACCAGUCUGACUCUCUUCCUUCCUAAUACAAGCAUGGCUUAUUUCCGCCAGUGAAGUCCAGCUGAGAAACACACUCAUCUGGAGUCCCUUCUGGAAGUGAAGUGAACGUUUCCAGGUUGCAGCAAUCCCAGAAGAGAAUGUGACAGAGAACUUGUGCUAGAUGCGAGCCCUAAGCCGGAGGAAACCAGACAAAGAGAAAGGGCUGGAUCAUUUUCACUGUUAACAGUGUGCUCAGCACCAUGUUUAGCAGAGGUUAUUUUAUCCCAUUCUCACAGUUUUUUUAAGCAUAUAUAUUAUUAUGCCCACUGUGCAGAUGAGGAAGGUAAGGCUCAAAGCUUUUUGAAAAGCAGACUUCCUGCUACUGCCUUGUGUAAAAUUUACAGCUUGCCAUUUGUUUUAGGAUAAAAUCCCCAAUCUUUAACCUAGCCCAUAAAAUCCUCCAUACUCUGAUUGCAGCCCACCCUCUUGUUCACCCUCGUCGUCUGAUCGGCCUAUUCAUCAGCUUCCUACACCCUCCCACUUCCGGGCCUUCACACAGGCUGUUUCUUCUGCUUGAACCUGACUUCUCCUUCCUUUUUUUGCCUGGACAAUUCGUAUUCAUCCCUCAGGUCUCAACACUUCUCCAGAGAAGUCUUCCUCGAACUGCCAACCCCCAUCACCCCCAUCCCCACCUCCAAUACUAGAUGAGGCUCCACUCCUAUAUAUGCUUUCCCAGUAACCUGUGUCUUCUUCAUAGCACCUCUUAUGACCGUCAUGAAGUGCUCAACUGUGUGUGUUGUUUGUCUUACUAGACUGCAAGCCCCAUCGGGACAGCGUCUGUGUCAGUCAGGAGAGACUGGGCUCGGCAGUGGAAACAUAAAUCCCAACCCUUAUGUUUCUCCUUUAUGUAACAUGUCUCGUGGGAUUGAGCAAAGGCUCUGCUCCACCUUGUCACCCAGAGAUCUAGGACAGUGGAGGCCUCAGCACCUUUUUGGCUGCACCAUGUGGAACACUGGCCUUUUCGGUGGCUGCAGCAAGGCAAGAGAAACAUUGGAGAAUCAUGUGUGCAUAGGUCAAAAGCAGGCACAGUACAGAACGGGGGCACAUACACUCUGCCCAACUGCAAGAGGGUUGGGACCUACAAGAGGAGCAGGUGGAUUAUUUGAUCUGCAUAGGAUCUUAACCAACGUGUUCCCUGUGUGUUCUCCGUGCCUAGCAUGUUGUGUGGUACAUAGUGGGAGCUCCAAAAUAUCAGCUGAAUGAAUGAGCGUGUCAGUGUAAGUCUAUCAAGAUUACGUAGCCAGCACAUGGUGAUGGGACUGGGCUUUGGACCCAAUCCUCCUGUUUGCAAAAUCUUUGGGCUUUGCACUCUGUCUUCUUGUCGCUCCUGAUUUAAACGCUUUUUCUCUCCCCAUGUAGAGAACAGAAUAUCAUGCAUUUAGCCACUUAAUAGAUUUGUUUUUCCUGAUGAAGGUGAUGAAAGUGGCAUGUCCUCCAAUCAGCCUUGCAAUCAGCCAUUCCUCCACUCACCCAAGACAAGUGGCAAUUCAAAAGCAGCUAUCGUUUCUUAAGUGCCUACUGUGUGCCAAGUGUGUGAUUCCAGCUAAGGCACACAAAAGCUCAGUGAGGUGAGCCUGUGUUUCCUGCGUUGCAAAUGAAGACACUGACACUGGGAGUGAAGCCUAGACCCGGAUGCAGAUCUGCUGGCUGAAGUCCAGAGCUCUUCCCCUAGAGCAGUCAGCGGCUCUUAUAGUAGAGCAGGCAUCAGAAUCAUCUAGAGGACCAGAGGAAGUGUAGACAGCUGGGCCUCACCCUAGUUUUCAUUCAAUAGAAGCAGAGGAGGUGGUGAGGGGGCCUGAGAAUCUACAUUUCUAAUGCACUCUCAGGUGACACCAGGUGGCAGGUCCAGUACCUUUGUUUUGAGAAUGGCUUCCCUACAGUGUGCUGUCUGGAGAGGGUGAGGAGCGCUUCCUCUGUUAACUUCAUUCUGGUGUCAUGCCUGGAGGAGCGUGGGGGUCAGGAACAUAACCUCUCGGGUGGCUGGCGUUUGGUCCUUCUCUGUGAGGCCGCCUGCAGUAGAAGUCUGUAAAAUGAAGGGGUUGGACAGGAUGAGCUCUGGGGUGCUCUGCAGAUCUGACACUCUGUGUUCUGUGAUUGGAUGAGCUAAACCAAAGCUGCAGAUUCCAUUUAAGUCUCUUCCUAGGUGGGAAGUGCUAUAGACUAAAAAUUGUGUAGCAGUAAAUACCCAGGGAAGUCAAGGAGUUAUCGAGUAGCCACUGUGUGCUCAGUCUCCUGGAGGGCUGUGGGGAACCCAAGAGAAGUGUAAGACAUGACGCUGCUACUCCAGGCACCAACAGCCUGGUUGGUUGUGGAGACAAAACACACACUUGAAACCAUGAUAGAAAAGCGUGUCAGGAUAUAACCAAGUGCUAAUCGGUGUGAAUCUGGUGAGAAGUGACCUUUGGGAUUCAGGGAGCUCCCAGGUUCCUGGAACCUAGGAAUUUGAGAACCUAUAACUAACAUUUGUGUAUAGCAUAGUAUUUUAACCCACGUGAGCCCCACAGCAUGGCGUGAGGUGGACAUUUUGAAGAGGAAGAAACAGACCCAAAGACUUGCCCAAAGUCAACUUUUAUUAAGUAAAGACAUUGAGAUUUGAACCCCAGCCUGCUGAUAACAGAGCCCUUGCUCUGCAAAUGGUGCAGAAGGUGAAGCAAGGGAGAUGGAAGGUACCAGCAAAGACGUGGCAGGUGAAUUCCACCUAGGCCAUGUGGAGAGCCUUGGGUGAAAUGAGGUGGCAGAGAGGUUGGGUGAGCGACGUGAAAAUCAACUUGAUAGAUCUGAAAAGCAGCCCUGGGGUCCCUGAGUACAAUGAAAAUAUUAACACUCAUGGGAUGGGCACAGGAGUGUUUUAUUAAGGUUGGUUCAAAAGUCGUUGUGGUUUUUGUCAUUCAAGAAAAAGCAGUGGCAAAAACCUCAACUACUUUGCAUCAACCAAAGACAUCGCUAACACGUUCGUCUCAUCCAGGGAUGUUUGCGGGGAUACGUCAGUGCACAGUAGCAGAGUUACUCUAGAUCUGGAGGCUCUGAGUCUCUGCCACGUCUCUCCAGGCCAUUAAUGGUCCAGACAUCUUUGUGUGAAUUAUAAAAAAAGAUAUCCCUUCCUCCAAGAAGUUGCAACUCUGGCCGGGCACGGUGGCUCACUACUGUAAUCCCAGCACUUUGGGAGGCCGAGGCGGGUGGAUCACCUGAGGUCAGGAGGUCAAGACCAGCCUGCCCAAAUGGUGAAACCCUGUCUCUACUAAAAAUAGAAAAAAAAUUAGCCGGGCAUGGUAAUGGGCACCUGGAAUCCCAGCUACUAGGGAAGUUGAGGCAGGAGAAUCACUUGAACCUAGGAGGCGGAGGUUUCAGUGAGCUGAGAUCUUGCCACUGCACUCCAGCCUGGGCAGCAAGAGCAAAACUCUGUCUCAAAAAAAUAAUAAAAAAAGAAGUUGCAACUCCAUGUCAGGACACAAAGCUUGGCUAGAGGGUGGGCUGGAUCGCUGUCCCCAUCCAUCCAGACAUACCCUUUUAUCUUAUAGCCUGGUCAAUGCCUAAAUCUGUACCACUGCAUCUUGUAGGCUUGAGUCCCUACCACCGUGUGUGCAUGCACAGCACCACACACACACACACACACACACACACGUGUGCAUAAACCAACACCUUCUCCUUGCCCCAGGGAAUUCUUUACUUGUGGGGUGGGGGAUACCAGAAACCUCUGUGACUUCAAGCCAUUUCAUUUCCUCCUUCCCAGCAGGCUUUUUAACAGAAUUUCUUCUAAGAGGGUUUGUGGCGGGGCUGGAAGCAGCGACUAGAAUGAAAUCCACAAGGUCAGGGAGAAGCAGAGCAGGUGACGCUGUAUCUAUCUGACUCCAGGGAUACAGUAACAAAGGAGAUGGUGCAGAGAGGCACCAAGUCAAGGACAGAUGAGGCUUGGGAGGCUCUACCUUCCCCCAUCAGACUGUUAACAUGGAAUACAAAGCUUAAGUCUUUAUUACCGAAAAAAGAAAAAGUAGCAGGAGAAGAGCGGGAGCCAGUAAGAGGGGAGAGACGAGAGAGCCACACGCUGAAAUCAAUACUGCCCAGGACAAGCAUUAUCCCAUGUGGAACACCUCAAGCCUCUGCCUAGAAAAUUUGAUUGGAUCUUCAGAAAAACCUAUUAGUGUGUUGUCAGGACCUUCUGGUGAUAACUGACCAGCUCUUGCCAAUCGAUGCUCUUCACUUGUGGAGCUCCUGAUUUUUUAACAGCAUAAUUGUUUUUUUAAUAACGGGCUGGCUCACCCACUCCAGCAAGCAGGGAGUCAAAGUCAGACUCCUAACUUAAAAUAUAGAGAAACGCGAUGCUGCAGCCACUUCUUCCUAAUUGCACAAUUACUUUAUGGAGCACCAGGGAUGGAAGGCUGCAGUGGGGGUGCGUUUUUGUUUUCUUUUUUUCAGCCAAGCGAGGUUGUUAAGAAAAGUCACAGAAGUAAUUACACAUGUCAAAAUUAUUUACUAAAUGAAAGCCAUUCUUCACCAAAGAGUCUUUAUUUAUUUUUUAUAAAGAAAAAGGGCAAAAAUUGGAUGAUUCCAGGAUGGCGACAUCAUAAAGCAACAAUGGAAUUAGUCUUCACUUAUUACAGCUUUUUAAUUUUCAACUCAAGAGGGAGCAACGCAUAUUUUCCUUAGGGUUUUAAAUGCACUAUAACAACAGCAGUGUUCUUGCUCUUUACCGUGCCUAGGAUCUGAGCUGUCAAAGUACUUUACAAAUAACUUUGGGAUUGAGGCUCUGUACAGCUGGAGAGCAGGGCCCAGGGAGGAAGCGAUUUGCCCAAGGUCACGGCUGAAUCAGAGGCACAGCUGGAAACACUACUCAUGAAUACUGGUUCCUGGAGUCAGAGCUCAUCACCACCAGCCUGCCCACCUCCCACACACACCAAAACAAAACCCCAAAGCCAGAAAACAGCAGCGGGCAGAGAGGUCACCUGCCCUACACAGCCCAGGGUGUUCACACUGACAAUUUGCUGUACAGAUCGGAAGCUGGAUGUGCAGGUCAGAGACCUUACAGAUUGCCGUUGCUGGACCCAGGAGAAUCAGUCACUAAGGAAACCUAAAAGUUCACUCUGCAUAGUUGGGCAGCUCAGCUCUCCAUCCAGAGCCCCCAGGUGUGUAUGUCAGAUUCUGGGGUUGAUGGUUGAGGGGUUGAUGGUUCAUGCGACAGUUUGCUCCGCCCACCUGGCAGGUCUGGUUCUUCUCUGGGCUGGCUCCCUCCAGAACUUGUUCUCGUGCUCAGAGUUGGAGUGCAAGACUCAGAGCAGAGAGAGCGAGAAAGAGAGGGAGAGAAAGAGGAAAAGAAAAGAAGGAAGACAGAGGAUAGACUGUUUGGAAACCUGUGCAGUCCCUAGAACCUCUUCUUAUGAAGACUCCAUUCCACCCUAUGCUACAUACAUUAGGGUCCCACAUUGAGUACAGUUUCUGAUUAUUUACCAGUUCAGUUAGGCUGAAGUCUGCUGGUGACAUUAUUAUGGUUUAGUAGAUAUUUAAUUAAACAUUUAAUACAUCUGA